UGUUGCUUCACCCACCACCACACCGCCGCCCCACGCCCUACUCACCACCACCUCUUGGCCACCGAACCACCACCACCUACCGCUCGUCCGACGAGCCAUGUUGCCGUUGAGCCCGACAAGCUGUCACGCCGUCCGCGUCGCCCCUCGCCGCCGUGAGCCACCGCCGCCGUCCCCAAACCACCGUCACCACCUCUUGCCGCCGCUCGCUUGGUCGUCUGGGCCGUCAUUGCUCCGAACCGCCACCGCCUCCGUUUGAACCGAGCUCUUCCUCCCUUGGCCGUGGGUUGAGCCGCGACCGCCGCCGUCUUCGCCGCGCCGUCCGUGCCGUCGUUGGUGCCGUGAGUCUCGUGUCUUCUUCGCCGUCGCUGGACCUCCCUUGACACCAUCGCUGGACGCCGUCACCCCUCGCUUGCCUCGCCGCUCAGCCGCUUGACGUCGACGACACCGUUGGACGCCGCUCGUCCCCCUAGUGGAGGCUGCUCGCUCGCCUAGCCGCCCCGACACUGCUCGCCGCUCGCCUAAUAUGGUUUAUCAUCGAGGAGUUUUGAACAAGAAGCACCACUCUCCAUCACUGAGCAACGAAGUGUGGCGUUUAAAGAAAGUAGCCAAAGACGGUGCUCUACAUAAACGCAUGAUUUCAAGAGGAAUCAAUACUGUUCAAGAUUUCCUCCAGUUGUACGAAGCUGAUGCAUCCUCUCUGAGAAAUGUAGCAACCAUUUCUCUUCUAGCCGUGCUAAUUUCCCCUUUUCUGUACACGUUAUUUAAGCAUUGUUGACCAUCAAAUCCACUACUUCUUGUGUGAUGCAAUGUUAUUUAAGAUAUUUGGCGAUCGGGUUGCAAACGGAAUGGUGAAAGUGGCUCAAGCAACACUUGAUGGCCAAACUUACCAGUCGCUAGAUCAAUUGACCCACUCUCAGAAGGUACAUAAAGCAUAGCCAGAAACUUUCAUAUCAAGCAGUAGAUUGUCAAACUAUGUGGAGCUACAGAAGGGCUUGUAUGUAUCGUUCUUGUCCAUACAUAUACCACAAUCACUUCACUUAAAA